rnacentral:antisense_RNA from 1 species
GGUGAACACGUAGUACACCACGCUCUGGCCCGCCGUGAAGUGCUGCUCCGCCGUCUCCAGGAAGCGCUCCAGCUUGAGAGAGGCUGUGCAACUCACCCACAGCAGCCUCGAUCUGGGCCUCCUCCUAUGUGCCCCUGUUCAGACCCCUGCUCUGUGAACUUGGCGGACCCAUGUCCACUAAAGUGCUGAGGAAGUGACAGCGUGUGAUUUCUGAGGCUAGAUCAUAAAGAGCACAGCAGUUCUCACCUCACUCUUCUGCCUGGGUUACUGCAGAGUAAGCCAGCUACCAGUAAGCCACCCCAGCAACCCUUUGGAGAGGCACGCGUGGAAAGCAGCCAAGGCCCUGGUGGUCCCCGGCCUCCUUGCCGUGUGAGUGAACCGUGCUGGAAGUGGGUUUUCUGGCUCCAGACCUCAGACGCUGCAGCCUGUAUGGCGUCUUCCCUGAGACCUCAUAUGACCUCAAACUCAUACACUGGGUUUGUGGAAGGGAGCAGAUAACCUCUCUGUUUCCAGGUCUUCAGACUAAGAGGAACUGGACACCAGGAGCCUCAUACCAGGACUGCCCAGCCGAGCCACUCGAUUCCUGACCCACAUGGCCCUUGAGAUGACAAGUGAUUGCUGCUUAAAGUCACUGAGUUCUGGAGUAAUUUACAUCACGGCAAUAGGUAACUAAUGCAGAUUCUGGUACCUGGAAAAGGAGUGGUGACAUAAAACAGCUCUAUAGAUGUGGGCAUGGCCUCAGAACUGGCCACAGGCAGGAGCCGGAAGGACUCUGUGGAAAGCAUGAGUGUC